rnacentral:rRNA from 1 species
GAUGAACGCUGGCGGCGUGCCUAAUACAUGCAAGUCGAGCGAACAGACGAGAAGCUUGCUUCUCUGACGUUAGCGGCGGACGGGUGAGUAACACGUGGAUAACCUACCUAUAAGACUGGGAUAACUUCGGGAAACCGGAGCUAAUACCGGAUGAUAUAUUGAACCGCAUGGUUCAAUAGUGAAAGACGGUUUUGCUGUCACUUAUAGAUGGAUCCGCGCUGCAUUAGCUAGUUGGUAAGGUAACGGCUUACCAAGGCAACGAUGCAUAGCCGACCUGAGAGGGUGAUCGGCCACACUGGAACUGAGACACGGUCCAGACUCCUACGGGAGGCAGCAGUAGGGAAUCUUCCGCAAUGGGCGAAAGCCUGACGGAACAACGCCGCGUGAGUGAUGAAGGUCUUCGGAUCGUAAAACUCUGUUAUUAGGGAAGAACAAAUGUGUAAGUAACUGUGCACAUCUUGACGGUACCUAAUCAGAAAGCCACGGCUAACUACGUG